rnacentral:rRNA from 1 species
UACAGAGGUCUCAAGCGUUGUUCGGAUUCAUUGGGCGUAAAGGGUGCGUAGGUGGCGCGCUAAGAUCAGGUGUGAAAUUUCGGAGCUUAACUCCGAAACUGCAUUUGAUACUGGCGUGCUUGAGGACUGGAGAGGAGACUGGAAUUCAUGGUGUAGCAGUGAAAUGCGUAGAGAUCAUGAGGAAGACCAGUGGCGAAGGCGGGUCUCUGGACAGUUCCUGACACUGAGGCACGAAGGCCAGGGGAGCAAACGGG